rnacentral:lncRNA from 1 species
GUCAGUAGGCAACAGUAGUGAGGAGUUUUUGUUUUAGCCCUUGCCAUGAGUAGAAGUAGUAGUAAGAGAAGCUGUUGUAAUAGGAGGAGUAGAGCCUUUGCUGCAAGAGGAGGUAGAAGAAGAAGCUGCAAGAAGGAGGUAGUAGAAGAAGCUGCUGGGGAAGAGAGCUGUAAAGGAAAAAGCCACAAGUAAAGAAGCCGUUAUGUGAACCCGACUUGGUGUCUGUGUUGUUCGUGUCACCACCGGCUCGAGGACCUACAAAAAUUUUCCCCUGUUUAUUUCCACAGCAACCUCUUGACCAUGCCUACUAUGAAUAUACAGU